AGUGAACGCUGGCGGUAGGCCUAACACAUGCAAGUCGAACGGCAGCACAGUAAGAGCUUGCUCUUACGGGUGGCGAGUGGCGGACGGGUGAGGAAUACAUCGGAAUCUACUUUUUCGUGGGGGAUAACGUAGGGAAACUUACGCUAAUACCGCAUACGACCUACGGGUGAAAGCAGGGGAUCUUCGGACUUUGCGCGAUUGAAUGAGCCGAUGUCGGAUUAGCUAGUUGGCGGGGUAAAGGCCCACCAAGGCGACGAUCCGUAGCUGGUCUGAGAGGAUGAUCAGCCACACUGGAACUGAGACACGGUCCAGACUCCUACGGGAGGCAGCAGUGGGGAAUAUUGGACAAUGGGCGCAAGCCUGAUCCAGCCAUACCGCGUGGGUGAAGAAGGCCUUCGGGUUGUAAAGCCCUUUUGUUGGGAAAGAAAAGCAGCAGGUUAAUACCCCGCUGUUCUGACGGUACCCAAAGAAUAAGCACCGGCUAACUUCG
rnacentral:rRNA from 1 species